UAGCAUGUAUAAUCGGCCCGAGCUCGGCUGCCCUGCGGCAGCUGCGGCUCAGACUCGGCAUCGGCGUGUGUUAACCGAGCCGAUUGUGCCCCGCAGCUCGCUCUGGCACAUUCAUUUUUGUUCUGGCUGUAAGCACUGGGCCGAUUCAUGUUCACCGUAACUGGUAACCCAGCUCUGGCUAUAUGAUCUGGACCACUUUUGGAAAUGACUCGGCUUAUGUUAAAUCAAGGAUGGUUUUAAUGGAUGCCAUUCAAUGUAGGCGACUUUCUUUAACACAAAUGUAGAUUUUUAACUCCAACCGUUUUAGUCUGUCCAUAACAAAAGACAGUAAAAAACAAAACAUGGUCAGACAAAUCCAAAUUAAACCCUGCUGCUCGUUGAUGUCCUAAGACACGAAACGAUCGGUUUCUGUGAGAAACCGAACUGUAUUAUAUAAUUUAUACCUCUAAUACGGCGCCUUCUUCUUCUUUUGAGUUUUAAUGGCGGGUUGCGAAGCAACGUCAUAGUUGCAUACUGCCAUCUACUGUAUCGGAUGCACGGCUUGAGGGCUAUACAGGGACACCCGAAACCGUAGGUGGCGGUAUGCACCUAUGAAGUUGCUUCGCAACCCGCCAUUAAAACUCUAAAGAAGAAGGUGCUGUGCACGGGCUCAUUUGACUACGCAUAGUACUGUAUUAGAGGUAAAAAAAAUUAUAUAAAUACUGUUCGGCUUCUCGCACAAACCGAUCGUUUCGUUUCUUAGGAUAUCAAUGUGUCGUCACGAGCGGCAGGGUUUAAUUUGGAUUUGUCUGUGCAUGUUUUUACUGUCUGAGAUUUUGUUACUAUUCACAUGCAUACAGACUGAAACGGUUGGAGUUUCUACAUUUGUGUUGUACUGAAGAAACAAAAUCACAUACAUCUUGGAUGGCCUCGGGACCCUUUUGCCAGUAUGAAGCCGAUUUCAACGGUAACUGCAGAAAGCGUCAGCACGCUCAGCUCAUCACUGGAGUAACGUCUGUACAACGGGUGAGAUAAAACUCAACGCCUGACUGAAUCAUCCAUUCCCUUUUCGAUCCUACGCCAUACGUUAAACUUGAGCACACCACCCAUACAUGGCACACAAAACAGGUCUUGUGAGGGGGCUGUGCCCACAGGUAGAAAUUCUGUGGGUCCACGGGCUUCUCCCCUUUCAGCGAACAUCACAGCGCUUAGUCCACCAUCGUGGUCUCCAAUCUCCAUUACCAACAGCCUGAGUGCUACACCUACAGACACCCCAACCCAUGCAGCAGCUGGCAGAAGUCAGACAUCAGGCCAAACUGGAUUUCAACACACCCCACCCUUACAUGGCACACAAGUAUAUGACACACAACACAGGUCUUCUCAGGAGGCUGUGCCUACAGCAAUAGGCUUUACGCCCAGCUGCACUACUUCCUGAACUUCAGCCAGCUCCUUGUUUCCUGUCUGCCAUUAUUGGACAAACUGAUUAAUCCAGGUGUGCCUGAGCUUAGUAGUCACAACAACAAUAAUCAGACACACCUGGAUUUAUCAGUUUGUCCAGUAAUGGCAGACAGGAAACAAGGAGCUUAAAGCCUAUUGCUAAGGAGAUCCUCAUCCAGCUCGAUUUUAUUAGAGAGCAGCAGUUGCAGACUUCAUCCCAGACCCAACACAUUUUGGGCUGCCACUUUCAACUAUUGAGGAGCUACAAUGUUUGUAGGAGACAUUAAAUAAUCCAGAUGAGAAGAAGAAUUUGGUGAGACUGUUUUUCCUGGAAUGGUCGGAGACAAGACUCUUAAAGACACCGUGGGGUGGGUCCUGAAAAAAACAAUGAACUCUUCGUGGUGAGACUCAUCAAUUGAAGUGGGGUCAACUGAACGCCUGCAUUCAAAGGGCUCACUUUGAAAAGUGUGGUUUUGGAUGCAGUCCGCCGGAAUGCCCUGACCAAAGAUAACACAGAAAAGGAGAUAGAGCUCCUCAUCACCAGGUGGUCGGUGCUAGCAUAUGACAGGGAUGGUGGCCAAAUCCAGACAAUAGACAGACAAUGAAUUAAAAUGUUUUAAAUUUAAAAAUGUUGAUUUUUGGAAAAUUCGUAUUUGAACUGAUUGUGUGUGUGUGUGCACCUGGUAAUUAUCACGUUGUGUCCCCACAAAGAUAGGAAUACCAGUAUUUUUGUGACCUUGUGUCCCCAUGAGGAAACAAGCUUAUAAAUCAAACAAAAUGAUGUUUCUUGUAAAUGUGAAGUAGGAGAAGGGUUUCUGUGAUGGUUGGGUUUAGGGAAUGGGGUAGGUAAGGGGAAUAAAAUAUACAGUUUGUAUGGUAUAAAAUGCAUUACGUCUAUGGAAUGUC